UCGAGCCCGACAUGACAACUUGUCAAGCGGCAAGCCAGGUAAGCAUUUACGCCGCCAGCGUGGCAGAUGAAAACUGACGCCCAGCGUAGCUGGCGAACGCUACCUGAUGGCGUCAGACGGGGAAACAAACUUUAUGUAACGUAGCGGACGUUACAUAAAGUUUCGUUUCAAUCGUCAGCAUAUUCGUCAUCUCUGAGUAACCGCGCUGACCUUAUUCCGCACUGAACUGUAGCACCGGGUGUGUCCCUGUGUUUAAAUAAUGCCUUUUCAAUAGCUGCUCCUUUUGUAUUCAUGGCAACCAAUAAUAAACAAAGCUCGCCUGACUCAUCAGUCACCAUCUUGAAGCCUGAAUACGUCAACCGUCAUGGCGACGAGCAGAACGGGUUUGGAAGGAGGUGUUGAGUGAUCCAGAAGAGAGCGUCAGGAGUAAAACCGGAUUUAUUUUGCAGAACGACUCAUUUGCACUCUGGGUCUGCGAAACGCUCGUUGAGGGAUUGCAAGCCGGGGGCGAUAAAUGAGAUCAGGGGAAGAGACGAAGGCGGACCCCAGGAGGUUUGAUAUCUGCAUGCGCUUGACCACCUCUCGGCCGCUUUGAUGAGAAGCAGCGGCUGGUUGGCAAGGUGAAGCGGCGUCUCCACUCAGGCAGGCCUCACAGCACUCGGCAGGAAACAUUUAUAAAGUUGCCAGCAUGGAGGCCCGGAGACAGGGGUCAGUCAGCCUCUGAUCUAUGCAUGCCACCCCCUUUCCUGAAAUGGACCCCAGCUGCUCCUUAACUAAGGUGACACAUCAAAACCCACGGCACUAACCAUGUGCCCCCCCCAAUCCGCCCCCUCCUCCUGGGAGCUUGCGGGAAAGUCCGACAAAGGGAAAGUGGUAUUCCAGAGUCAGUGUUGAGAUUUUUCUGCACAUGUGUCAGGUUGUGCUGGACACGGCUGGACAUGUUUGGAUUGGAGAGCGGUCAGUCCCGUCCGCACCAUCGCGACAGAGGCCUCGGCUCAGUCUGACAGCGGAAACCAACACCAGGUUGUUUUCCGACUUCAGCUCAUGGUUACUGUUAGAAUAACACAAAUGUUUAAACACUGACAGUAACUUGGAAAUACCGCCGUUCAUUACAGGAGUUAUAACAAAACCAUUUUUUCCUCUCACACCAGUUUAUUCAGUCAAUGUUCCUUUUUUCCCCCCACAGAUGCCUCUGUCAGGAUUUAACCUGGUGAUUGAUUGUAAAACAG